ensembl:snoRNA U8 U8 small nucleolar RNA
UCAUCAGGUGAGAUAAUCCUAACCUGUUCCUCCUUUGGAGGGCAGAUUAGUACAUGAUGAUUGGAAUUCCCAUGAUUCAUAAUGAUCAUUUCUGCCUGAUCAGGGUUUAUAACACCCUGGUUGCUCCUACCUGAU